GAGGAUGCGAGCGUUAUCCGGAUUUAUUGGGUUUAAAGGGUGCGUAGGCGGAGAGCCAAGUCAGCGGUAAAAUCGUGGGGCCCAACCCCAUCCCGCCGUUGAAACUGGCUUCCUUGAGUGGAUGAGAAGUAUGCGGAAUGCGUGGUGUAGCGGUGAAAUGCAUAGAUAUCACGCAGAACCCCGAUUGCGAAGGCAGCAUACCGGCAUCCGACUGACGCUGAAGCACGAAGGCGUGGGUAUCAAA
rnacentral:rRNA from 1 species